rnacentral:rRNA from 1 species
GCUGGCAGCCAUAUCACCCUGUAGCCCAAGACUGGUCACCCACUGAAGCUAAGCAGGGCUGAGCCUGGUCAGUACCUGGAUAGGAGACCUCCUGGGAAAACUAGGUUGCUGCUGGAA